CAAAAAGUGACUGGUGUGAUUUUAGUGCGUGAUUUUGGUGGUUUCGAGCCACACUUUCGAAAUGGCUACGAUUCCCAUCUACUCUCCAAAACUUCCAUUUCUGGGGCUGAUUCCCGGCGGUCUGGUUGCUGGCCGUAUGGUAAGGCUCAAGGGUAUUCUGCACCAGCACGGAGAACGUUGCCAGAUUCACAUUCAAUCGGGAGCGGCCACAAACCCGCGAGACGAUGUGACGCUCCACAUCAGUAUAAGGCCCAACGAAAAUGUGAUCGUGCGGAACACGCUGCAGAGCCAGGUGGUGGGUCCGGAAGAGCGCUACGGUGGCUGCCCGAUCCGGUAUGGCGAAGGUUUCGACCUUUUGAUAUUGGCCGAAGCGAGUCAGUACAAAAUAGCCAUCAAUGGGGCCCACUUUUGCACCUUCGGCCACCGACUGCCGUUGCACAUGGCGCGGUUCAUUUCCGUUAGCGGCAACUGCGUCAUUUACUCGAUCAUUUCCGAGGCGGAUGGGGCCGGCGCACUUCCCAUCAAUCCAUAUCCGCCCGUUGUCAUUCCACCGCCAGCACCGUACGUUCCUGCGCCUCCGAUUGGUUUCGUACCGCAUCCGCCACCGGCGCCCCUGCCUCCACCACCGCCGUACACUCCACUACCAACCUACCCGGUCGUCAGCGGUGGUGGUGGUGGCCACUAUCCAGGCCACGGAUGGAUGCCACCGCCACCACCGCCACCGCAGCCGGGAUAUCCGCAUCCAGCGUACCCCGGAGGGCACCCGUCAGCCGUGCCUUUUUCGGUACUAUUCAAAGAAGAGUUGCGAGCGAAAGUACAGGAAAUGUAAUCACUUUUUCACACCACGCAACAACCACGCGCCUCCAUGUUCCGCCUAUGCCGCGGACAUUGGGGCGCGUUGGUGCUUUCGGUAAAGCUUUGGGGAUAUCUAUUUUAGUAUCCUGGCUUUUGUACUGUUCAAUUGUGUUCCCCAACGGCCCCCGGCCAAUACCAGCCACCGGUUGCUGCUGCUGCGGGUGAUGGUCGUGUAAAGAUGAAAAAAUCUUUGCAACAAACGAUCUCGGGGGGAAUUCAGCAGACACAGGACUUUCUCCGUCACACGAUCACCGGAGGACCGAUCUCGAGCAAUCCCGCGCCGCAACAUUCCCACGCUUCUUACCAUGUUCCGCCGCAACCAUCGGUAAAUGUCCCGGCAGGUGUGCUUUUGUCCGCGUUUGUCGCCUUUUCGCUAUGCGUUUCUUUU